CCUACGGGAGGCAGCAGUGAGGAAUAUUGGUCAAUGGACGAGAGUCUGAACCAGCCAAGUAGCGUGAAGGAUGACUGCCCUAUGGGUUGUAAACUUCUUUUAUAUGGGAAUAAAACGUUCCACGUGUGGGAUUUUGUAUGUACCAUAUGAAUAAGGAUCGGCUAACUCCGUGCCAGCAGCCGCGGUAAUACGGAGGAUCCGAGCGUUAUCCGGAUUUAUUGGGUUUAAAGGGAGCGCAGGUGGAUUGUUAAGUCAGUUGUGAAAGUUUGCGGCUCAACCGUAAAAUUGCAGUUGAAACUGGCAGUCUUGAGUACAGUAGAGGUGGGCGGAAUUCGUGGUGUAGCGGUGAAAUGCUUAGAUAUCACGAAGAACUCCGAUUGCGAAGGCAGUUCACUGGACUGCAACUGACACUGAGGCUCGAAAGUGUGGGUAUCAAACAGGAUUAGAUUCCCCAGUAGUC
rnacentral:rRNA from 1 species